UACAGAGGUCUCGAGCGUUGUUCGGAUUCAUUGGGCGUAAAGGGCGCGUAGGCGGCGGGGUAAGUCUGGUGUGAAAUCUCGGAGCUCAACUCCGAAAUUGCACUGGAUACUGCUCUGCUAGAGGGCUGGAGAGGAGAUCGGAAUUCACGGUGUAGCAGUGAAAUGCGUAGAUAUCGUGAGGAAGACCAGUGGCGAAGGCGGAUCUCUGGACAGCUCCUGACGCUGAGGCGCGAAGGCUAGGGGAGCAAA
rnacentral:rRNA from 1 species